GAGUUUGAUCCUGGCUCAGAUUGAACGCUGGCGGCAUGCCUUACACAUGCAAGUCGAACGGCAGCAUGAUCUAGCUUGCUAGAUUGAUGGCGAGUGGCGAACGGGUGAGUAAUACAUCGGAACGUGCCCUGUAGUGGGGGAUAACUAGUCGAAGGAUUAGCUAAUACCGCAUACGACCUGAGGGUGAAAGUGGGGGACCGCAAGGCCUCAUGCUAUAGGAGCGGCCGAUGUCUGAUUAGCUAGUUGGUGGGGUAAAGGCCCGACCAAGGCGACGAUCAGUAGCUGGUCCGAGAGGACGAUCAGCCACACUGGGACUGAGACACGGCCCAGACUCCUACGGGAGGCAGCAGUGGGGAAUUUUGGACAAUGGGCGAAAGCCUGAUCCAGCAGUGCCGCGUGUGUGAAGAAGGCCUC
rnacentral:rRNA from 1 species